UAUACUUUGCCGGUCCUAUAGUUUUAAUAGGAUCGCAUAUUCAAGAUGUUAAUGUAUUCACUGUUAUUGUUAUUGUUCCCGCAUUAAUUAUUCCAAUUUUGCUCUAGGGAAGCCAAAACGACCAGAAGCAGAAAGGUGACAGCUAAAAAAGAUGAGCCAGUUGUGGAAUCAUCUACUCCCACUAAAACAACGGUGACUAAGAAAGCUAAAAACAAAGAAAACGUUGCUGUUGUUGAAAUUGCUUCUCCCACCUCUGUUGCCCCAAGAAGAGUGCUCAGAAAACGAAACUAAACAACAAGCAAAAUACUAAAAUAAUAUUUUUAUGAUCUGAGAUUUUAAAUAUACGACUUCUAUUGUUUAAUAUAAAAUACAAUAAUUUAUGUAUACAA